rnacentral:rRNA from 1 species
GACAGAGGUUGCAAACGUUGUUCGGAAUCACUGGGCAUAAAGCGCACGUAGGCGGUCUGUUAAGUCAGGUGUGAAAGCCCCCGGCUCAACCGGGGAACAGCAUCUGAUACUGGCAGACUCGAGGAUGGUAGGGGUGAGUGGAACUCCAGGUGGAGCGGUGAAAUGCGUAGAUAUCUGGAGGAACACCGGUGGCGAAGGCAGCCUCCUGGGAUAACACUGACGCUCAUGCACGAAAGCGUGGGGAGCAAACAGGAUUAG